CACAUAAGUCCACUGUCUCUUCAAGCUUUUUUCAAUAAUGUUCCCCCUAUGAACAGUUUUUAAGCCAUGUAUCCCCUAACCAGCGCAAAAAUGUUUUGGUAGAAA